rnacentral:rRNA from 1 species
AUUGACGGGGGCCCGCACAAGCGGUGGAGCAUGUGGUUUAAUUCGAAGCAACGCGAAGAACCUUACCAGGUCUUGACAUCCUUUGACCACUCUAGAGAUAGAGCUUUCCCUUCGGGGACAAAGUGACAGGUGGUGCAUGGUUGUCGUCAGCUCGUGUCGUGAGAUGUUGGGUUAAGUCCCGCAACGAGCGCAACCCUUAUUGUUAGUUGCCAUCAUUUAGUUGGGCACUCUAGCGAGACUGCCGGUGACAAACCGGAGGAAGGUGGGGAUGACGUCAAAUCAUCAUGCCCCUUAUGACCUGGGCUACACACGUGCUACAAUGGGAAGUACAACGAGUCGCUAGACCGCGAGGUCAUGCAAAUCUCUUAAAGCUUCUCUCAGUUCGGAUUGCAGGCUGCAACUCGCCUGCAUGAAGCCGGAAUCGCUAGUAAUCGCGGAUCAGCACGCCGCGGUGAAUACGUUCCCGGGCCUUGUACACACCGCCCGUCACACCACGAGAGUUUGUAACACCCGAAGUCGGUGAGGUAACCUUUUUGGAGCCAGCCGCCUAAGGUGGGAUAGAUGAUUGGGGUGAAGUCGUAACAAGGUAGCCGUAUCGGAAGGUGCGGCUGGAUCACCUCCUUU